rnacentral:rRNA from 1 species
GACGAACGCUGGCGGCGUGCUUAACACAUGCAAGUCGAACGAUGACGACCGAGCUUGCUCGGUCUGAUUAGUGGCGAACGGGUGAGUAACACGUGAGCAACCUGCCCUUCACUCUGGGAUAACCUCGGGAAAUCGGGGCUAAUACCGGAUAUGAGCUCCUGUCGCAUGGCGGGUGUUGGAAAGUUUUUCGGUGAAGGAUGGGCUUGCGGCCUAUCAGUUUGUUGGUGAGGUAGUGGCUCACCAAGGCGAUGACGGGUAGCCGGCCUGAGAGGGCGACCGGCCACACUGGGACUGAGACACGGCCCAGACUCCUACGGGAGGCAGCAGUGGGGAAUAUUGCACAAUGGGCGAAAGCCUGAUGCAGCGACGCCGCGUGAGGGAUGACGGCCUUCGGGUUGUAAACCUCUUUCAGCAGGGAAGAAGCGAAAGUGACGGUACCUGCAGAAGAAGCGCCGGCUAACUACGUG